AAUACAUGGUAGGUGAGGCCAGUAUAGGGAUACGGGUUACUACCGCAAACUAGUGGAGACACUACGCGCCGGUUAACAGAGAAUGUCGAUUCAAGGCAUGCUUUAAUGUGAUUUCAUUGCCCUAUAACGCUGAAGCUUGUACGGUAU
rnacentral:sRNA from 1 species